rnacentral:rRNA from 1 species
UAAGGAAUCUUCGGCAAUGGACGAAAGUUUGCCCGAGCAACGCCGCGUGAUGGAAGAAGGUUUUCGGACCGUAAAACUCUGUUGUUAGAGAAGAACAAGGACGUUAGUAACUGAACGUCCCCUGACGGUAUCUAACCAGAAAGCCACGGCUAACUACGUGCCAGCAGCCGCGGUAAUACGUAGGUGGCAAGCGUUGUCCGGAUUUAUUGGGCGUAAAGCGAGCGCAGGCGGUUUCUUAAGUCUGAUGUGAAAGCCCCCGGCUCAACCGGGGAGGGUCAUUGGAAACUGGGAGACUUGAGUGCAGAAGAGGAGAGUGGAAUUCCAUGUGUAGCGGUGAAAUGCGUAGAUAUAUGGAGGAACACCAGUGGCGAAGGCGGCUCUCUGGUCUGUAACUGACGCUGAGGCUCGAAAGCGUGGGGAGCAAACAGG